rnacentral:rRNA from 1 species
CGAGUCUGCCUUGAAGAUUGGAGUGCUUGCACUCUGUGAAACAAGAUACAGGCUAGCGGCGGACGGGUGAGUAACACGUGGGUAACCUGCCCAAGAGAUCGGGAUAACACCUGGAAACAGAUGCUAAUACCGGAUAACAACAGAUGAUGCCUAUCAACUGUUUAAAAGAUGGUUCUGCUAUCACUCUUGGAUGGACCUGCGGUGCAUUAGCUAGUUGGUAGGGUAACGGCCUACCAAGGCGAUGAUGCAUAGCCGAGUUGAGAGACUGAUCGGCCACAUUGGGACUGAGACACGGCCCAAACUCCUACGGGAGGCAGCAGUAGGGAAUCUUCCACAAUGGACGCAAGUCUGAUGGAGCAACGCCGCGUGAGUGAAGAAGGGUUUCGGCUCGUAAAGCUCUGUUGUUGGUGAA